AUUACAUAGCUAUUUUUUAUUAAUGAUAUUGCGAUUUACAUUUGAUAAAUGUAGGUUCAUAUGCUCGUAGUACCGGUGUGCUACGGACGGAGGAUGGGAAAAGUUAUUUCCUUAUUCUAAUUCCUGCGAAAUACAAGUAAGGAAUAUGAGCCAAAAAAGCAAUGCGAUGAUCCACAAAUUAAGUUUGAUAAGGCUUUUACAUUCGAUAAGCUAAUAGCUGUAGCUGCUGCCCAAUGAAUAUUAAUUGUUUUUUAAUUUAAUUUUUUUUUUUUAAUUGAAAUAAUAUGGG